UACGUAGGGCGCAAGCGUUGUCCGGAAUUAUUUGGGCGUAAAGAGCUCGUAGGCGGUUUGUCGCGUCUGCUGUGAAAACCCGAGGCUCAACCUCGGGCCUGCAGUGGGUACGGGCAGACUAGAGUGCGGUAGGGGAGAUUUGGAAUUCCUGGUGUAGCGGUGGAAUGCGCAGAUAUCAGGAGGAACACCGAUGGCGAAGGCAGAUCUCUGGGCCGUAACUGACGCUGAGGAGCGAAAGCGUGGGGAGCGAACAGG
rnacentral:rRNA from 1 species